rnacentral:rRNA from 1 species
CCUACGGGAGGCAGCAGUGGGGAAUAUUGCACAAUGGGGGAAACUCUGAUGCAGCGACGCCGCGUGAGUGAAGAAGUAAUUCGUUAUGUAAAGCUCUAUCAGCAGGGAAGAAAAUGACGGUACCUGAGGAAGAAGCCACGGCUAACUACGUGCCAGCAGCCGCGGUAAUACGUAGGGGGCAAGCGUAAUCCGGAUUUACUGGGCUUAAAGGGAGCGUAGACGGCAGGGCAAGACUGGAGUGAAAGGCGGGGGCUCAACCCCCGGACUGCUGUGGAAACUGUACGGCUGGAGUGCGGGAGAGGUAGGUGGAAUUCGUAGUGUAGCGGUGAAAUGCGUAGAUAUUAGGAGGAACACCAGUGGCGAAGGCAGCUUACUGGACUGUAACUGACGUUGAGGCUCGAAGGCGUGGGGAGCGAACAGGAUUAGAUACCCUUGUAGUC